rnacentral:rRNA from 1 species
UACGAAGGGGGCUAGCGUUGCUCGGAAUCACUGGGCGUAAAGGGUGCGUAGGCGGGUCUUUUAAGUCAGGGGGUGAAAUCCUGGAGCUCAACUCCAGAACUGCCUUUGAUACUGAGGAUCUUGAGUUCGGGAGAGGUGAGUGGAACUGCGAGUGUAGAGGUGAAAUUCGUAGAUAUUCGCAAGAACACCAGUGGCGAAGGCGGCUCACUGGCCCGAUACUGACGCUGAGGCACGAAAGCGUGGGGACGCAAACAGGG